rnacentral:rRNA from 1 species
CCUGCGGGAGGCAGCAGUGUGGAAUAUUGCACAAUGGGCGCAAGCCUGAUACACCCAUGCCGCGUGUGUGAAGAAGCCCUUCGGGUUGUAAAGCAUUUUCAGCGAGGAGGAAGGGUUCAGUGUUAAUAGCACCGUUCAUUGACGUUACUCGCAGAAGAAGCACCGGCUAACUCCGCGCCAGCAGCCCCGGUAAUACGGAGGGUGCAAGCGUUAAUCGGAAUUACUGGGCGUAAAGCGCACGCAGGCGGUUUGUUUAGUCAGAUGUGAAAUCCCCGAGCUUAACUUGGGAACUGCAUUUGAAACUGGCAAACUAGAGUCUUGUAGAGGGGGGUAGAAUUCCAGGUGUAGCGGUGAAAUGCGUAGAGAUCUGGAGGAAUACCGGUGGCGAAGGCGGCCCCCUGGACAAAGACUGACGCUCAGGUGCGAAAGCGUGGGGAGCAAACAGGAUUAGAUACCCUGGUAGUCCACGCUGUAAACGAUGUCGACUUGGAGGUUGUGCCCGUGAGGCUUGGCUUCCGGAGCUAACGCGAUAAGUCGUCCGCCUGGGGAGUACGGC